GAACUUUCCAGAGAUGGAUUGGUGCCUUCGGGAACUGUGAGACAGGUGCUGCAUGGCUGUCGUCAGCUCGUGUUGUGAAAUGUUGGGUUAAGUCCCGCAACGAGCGCAACCCUUAUCCUUUGUUGCCAGCGAUUAGGUCGGGAACUCAAAGGAGACUGCCAGUGAUAAACUGGAGGAAGGUGGGGAUGACGUCAAGUCAUCAUGGCCCUUACGACCAGGGCUACACACGUGCUACAAUGGCGCAUACAAAGAGAAGCGACCUCGCGAGAGCAAGCGGACCUCAUAAAGUGCGUCGUAGUCCGGAUUGGAGUCUGCAACUCGACUCCAUGAAGUCGGAAUCGCUAGUAAUCGUGGAUCAGAAUGCCACGGUGAAUACGUUCCCGGGCCUUGUACACACCGCCCGUCACACCAUGGGAGUGGGUUGCAAAAGAAGUAGGUAGCUUAACCUUCGGGAGGGCGCUUACCACUUUGUGAUUCAUGACUGGGGUGAAGUCGUAACAAGGUAACCGUAGGGGAACCUGCGGUUGGAUCACCUCCUU
rnacentral:rRNA from 1 species